ensembl:miRNA
ACGAAUGGCUAUGCACUGCACAACCCUAGGAGAGGGUGCCAUUCACAUAAACUAUAAUUGAAUGGCGCCACUAGGGUUGUGCAGUGCACAACCUGCAC